rnacentral:rRNA from 1 species
GGAUCAAUUUGUCGGUCGUGCCUCGGUACGUACUGGUAUUAUUGGUUUCUACCUUCUGAAGAACCUUGAUGUCAUUAAUUUGGUGUCAUGGGAGAUCAGAACCGUUACUUUGAAAAAAUUAGAGUGUUUAAAGCAGGCUCGCGCUUGAAUACAUUAGCAUGGAAUAAUGAAAUAGGACGUUUGAUUCUAUUUUGUUGGUUUCUAGGAUCGACGUAAUGAUUAAUAGGGAUAGUUGGGC